CCUAGGAUAAAUAGGUAUCCAUUUUAGAUAAGGCACUUUUAAUCUGCCUGGCCUAAUUUGGCCUAAUUUGGCCCUCCCAAGUUAGCAGGGCGUUUGGAGGUGCUUAGUUCCCGUUUAGUCACAGCAGCGGGGCUAGAGAGCAGAAAGUUAGGGGACAAAAAAGGCUCUGGGUUAGUUCAAAUAGAAUAGGGCAGUUAGGCUGCUGAUUAAAGGGACACUCCCACUACCCUUAACCCUGCAAG